CGUGUACAGACUGGGACGAAGUCAAGAUCCAGAAUAGCUGAAGCUAUUAUGGAAGGAAUUCACAAAGCGUUGGAAAAUAUGGUUGCUCUAAUGCAACAUCAGAUGGAAAACAACAAUCCACCCAGGCAGUCAGUUACGGGAAAUGGUGGGAGUGAGAUCGAACAAUAUAAGAAAUUGAACCCACCUUCUUUUAAGGGUGUUGUAAACCCACUGGAAG
rnacentral:lncRNA from 1 species